UUUCCCUACGGGGCGCAGCAGUGGGGAAUAUUGGGCAAUGGGCGCAAGCCUGACCCAGCAACGCCGCGUGAAGGAAGAAGGCUUUCGGGUUGUAAACUUCUUUUCUCAGGGACGAAGAAAGUGACGGUACCUGAGGAAUAAGCCACGGCUAACUACGUGCCAGCAGCCGCGGUAAUACGUAGGUGGCAAGCGUUAUCCGGAUUUACUGGGUGUAAAGGGCGUGUAGGCGGGAAAGCAAGUCAGAUGUGAAAACCACGGGCUCAACCUGUGGCCUGCAUUUGAAACUGUUUUUCUUGAGUACUGGG
rnacentral:rRNA from 1 species